UGUAGAUAUUGAUCAGCAUGUUUCUUUCUUGAAGCAUUUUGGACCCUGGAUAUUGCUAAUAUGAGCCCUGCUUAUGCUUUUGACUAGACAGAGUACCAGCCGUAAAAAAAUGUCCUCUUUGCUAUCCGAUGCCCUUGAGUCAACUACGGGGCCGAGUUCAGGAAUCCAGCCUCUCAGCCAAGUCAUUUAGUCAGGAAUAUACAGACAGGGGGAUGUUGGUCAGGGCACAUGUUCCCCUGCGGUUUACAAGCCUCCGCACCCCAGUGAGGCAAAUGUGUGUACAUUUGAAUAUAUAUUUGAGGGGGACACAAUGGAAGAAGUUUGUGAGAGAUCUUUUAUAAUCAAAUUGUAUAGAAAUUUUUGAUCGACAUGCUUUGAAUAUAUGUUCUAUGCAUGUUUUUGUUGGAGAUUUUUUAAAUCAAUGUAGUUUUGAUAUUGGAUGGUUUGGAUUAUGUAGUUGGUUUUUUUAUUUGAUGAAUUAGAUAA